rnacentral:rRNA from 1 species
AGUGAACGCUGGCGGUAGGCCUAACACAUGCAAGUCGAACGGCAGCACAGUAAGAGCUUGCUCUUACGGGUGGCGAGUGGCGGACGGGUGAGGAAUACAUCGGAAUCUACUUUUUCGUGGGGGAUAACGUAGGGAAACUUACGCUAAUACCGCAUACGACCUACGGUUGAAAGCAGGGGAUCUUCGGACCUUGCGCGAUUGAAUGAGCCGAUGUCGGAUUAGCUAGUUGGCGGGGUAAAGGCCCACCAAGGCGACGAUCCGUAGCUGGUCUGAGAGGAUGAUCAGCCACACUGGAAGUGAGACAAGGUCCAGACUCCUACGGGAGGCAGCAGUGGGGAAUAUUGGACAAUGGGCGCAAGCCUGAUCCAGCCAUACCGCGUGGGUGAAGAAGGCCUUCGGGUUGUAAAGCCCUUUUGUUGGGAAAGAAAAGCAGCAGGUUAAUACCCCGCUGUUCUGACGGUACCCAAAGAAUAAGCACCGGCUAACUUCGUG